GGCAUAGCUAGCAAAUCAGCAUAAAUUGAUAAAAAGCACUCCUGGCCACUGCCUCAACCUGAAAAAUCAGGGCAAGGUUUGGGUCCAGAAGUACUCUCCAGACUAUUUAAGAGAGAAAUCGUAGCUAGAAGGAACCCAGAGCAGCAGUAGCAGCAGCAAACAGAGAUGUGGACAAGAUAUCGAGAAAAGACUUAAGGAGCUGAGUUUGUCUUCACCUUUGUCUUCACCAGAGGAAGGACCCUAGAACUGCUUUGAAAAAGACACAGGGAUCCCUUAAAGGAGCGUGCAGAUCCAUUGAAUUAAAAGCAGACAAGACAAACCUCUGCUUGGAUUAGCUGAAGCGGAAAUUGAAAGGAGAACUCUUUAAGGAGAAAAGAAUGGGCCACACAAUCAAAUCAGCUUGUACAGUGGUCAACAAAGGGAUGAAAUAUCAAACUGCACGACAACACUGCAAAUAAUUCCCAAGAAGCAGCCAUUAAAAAAGUUCUUGCUGUUUAAUAUUCAAAGUACAAAAAGAACAUUUCCAGAGAAUUAUAAUGCAACGUUGUCAUUUCAGAACAGAUAGUGUUCAAAAACGAGAAGAUACAUACAUCACAAUGUAUUUUAAAAGUUUUGUAUUAAAAGUUUUGAAGCUC